CGGGUGUCCUGUGUGAAUUUAAGUAUGCUCUCUCUAAUUCUCUCUUUCUCUCUUUCUUUCUUUCUCUCUCUCGGAGGACCUGAGCCCUAGGACCAUGCCUCAGGACUACCUGGCAUGAUGACUCCUUGUUGUCCCCAGUCCACCUGGCCGUGCUGCUGCUCCGGUUUCAACUGUUCUGCCUGCGGCUAUGGAACCCUGACCUGUUCACUGAAAACUCCCUGGCUUCCCUUAUGUUCCUCACUGAGCUGGACAAGAUCUUCAACCAGUUUCACAAUAUAAUAAAGAUGUGGAACGAUACUCACGCUGCACCUUGGUCCGUUCCUACACACAGUCGUGACAUCGAGGCAGUGGCAGUACAGGUAGAGGAGGAAAAGGAGGUAGCCUGCAGCAGCGCAUUGAGACGCAAAUUAGUUGAGAUGAAGAUGACAACUAGCAGCAAUCGACCAGACAGCAACCAGCCAACAGUGGCUUUUAUUCCACAUGUCUCAAAUAAACCAACCUGUA
rnacentral:lncRNA from 1 species